GGAAACCUCAUGCUUAGCCUGAGAAGUCAGCCACAUCCUCCUGAUGCCAGCUAUGGGGAUCACACAAUAUUGAUUCCACAUCCAUAUAUACCCAGAUGCUGUUGCCAUUUAACAACAUUAAGGAUCAUUCCCCAGUACCAGAAAAAAUAUGCAAGGUGACCAUGCCACACUUCCUCGCUUACACACACAGUAUGCACAAGCACUCGCCAUACACAGACCAGUCACCCACUUCACAUAAGCAUCUUUCCUUGCUCUCUCUUCUCAAGUGCACCUCUCUCACAGAGAUCAUACGCACUCAGAGACCUCCCCAUUCUCUCUCUCUCUCACCCUGCAUAUUUCCCCACACAUGUUAACUUUCUAAAUACAGAGAGUUUCUGAUGUCAGGGAGUAUUGAGCUAUUUGAUUCUUCCACCUUCAUUUUUAACUGAUAAGAGAUCCCGGAGAAGCCUUUUCUAUUUAAGUGUAUUGGCAAAAGACAAGAUGGUGCCCCUCCACCCCAUUCCAUUUUCAAAAGCCAACCAGACUGGCAUCCUUCAACACUGAUGAUGGGACAGCAUCUUCAACAACACCUGAGGGAAGCAGGCUAGCUUAGUGGGUGCAGGGUGCACUCAUGAGCAUCUGCUGACUGAGACUGCUGCCUCAGUCUCUUGAAUAAUAGGGUCACCCCUGAUAUGUGUGCCUACUUUGUCCUUGCUUGCUUUGACCAUGCCCACUUUUGUUUUGGGCCCACCCACCACUGGCAUGUGAGGACCUUGGAAAGUUGGCAAUGAGGGAAUGAAGUCCUCAGGCUGAAAAAGGGUUCUCCAUUUAUGACUUAAAUACUAUAGAUUAUCUUUCUUUGCUCAGCCAGCACUGGUUUUUCGAAGGAAUGGUUCUGAAUUUGAUCUCAGUGUGUAAUGUGCGUUGUUUAAUACUACGUUUGUUAUAGAACUUUAAAGAUACAAAUGGCUUAACUGAGGAAGACAUCCCCAACUGACAUUUUAUAAUAUCUAUUUGUGCUGUUGUUUGUAAAUAACUUAAACACACCAGAAAUGUAUUUUUGAGUGAACCCAUUUAUUUUAUAGGCAGCUGCAUUCAGUUGUUUUGGAUAAUAAAAAAAAAUGCACACACAAUCAGACAUACACUACAUAAUGUUGAGGUAUAUAUAAUUUUGGAAGUUCUUGUUCUUGCUGCUUUGAUAUCUAGAGUGUCUCUAUAGGCCGAAUUUUCAAUCUAACAACUUUGAGAGAGUAAUCAGAGGGCUUGAAGGGCACCCAGACCACCCCAUUUUCAAUCUCAUAGGGAGCGUUGUUCCUUGGGUCAUACUGACCUCCUGAGUAGUAAAUCCCAUUGAGAUUAGCAGCUUGGCAAUUAUUGUACCACCAGCCACCUCCAUAUAUCUCAGCACAGUUCUCCUCCCAUUGGUCAUUGUCUCUAUCAAAAGUACUAAAUUUCAUGUUAUUGUGAGUGGUGUAUUCAACCCCAUCUUCCUCUGAACCCCUGAUAAGAGCAUCACCUGCUGUCCCCUCAUAAUCAGAGACACUGAGCCUAUAGCCUUCUUCUUCAGAGCUUAUGUGUAUGUUAUAUUCUGCAUAACCUUUAUUGCCCUCCCAGUCCUCUACUUCGACUCGAAGGACAGUGUCCCUCUGGGUCAGGAGAUGGAGAUUUUCAUUGCCCAACCAGAACUCUCCUUUCCCAUCCACGCUGCCAAAACCAUUCUUGUAGUCUUCCCAGGUCCGGUUAAAAUUCAGCGCCCCAUCCAAUCUCUGUUGGAUCAGAAGCCAUCCUCCCAAAGUGGUCUCUUGGUCGCAAUAAACUGAAAAAACCUUAGUGGUUCCUGCUGGCUUGAUUCUGAAAAUGCCACUUUGGGCACCAGAAGUGUGUUUCUGGUGGAUAUCCUCACAGUCUAAAAAAACAAAGUUGAUCUGGUUGACAGAAGUUUUCGGUUAAGCUUUAUUACAAGCUCACAGGAAUCCAAACAGUAAUCAUGCUCAAGUCAACUGGCUACACUUAAUUUGGGGCUGCAGUGGAACGAAUCCUUGUACUCUCCCCCCACCCCAAACUGAUUGCUUACAUGCACAUUUUCAUUACCCAUGACGUUAGGUACACAACUGCCUUGUAAUCCAAUUACUCAUGGCGAGAAACCAUGUCCCCCACCUUUCCAAAAUGGCAACCAACAGACACAUUGCUCUUAUUAUUUAAACAAUGGCAUGGACUGCACUCGUUUAACCUGUGUGUCAGUUUGGUUGCACACUUCACUGCUGCUCCCUCAAAAAUUAUUUUCCAUGCAGUGGGUGGGUACCUGUCCCGGUGUAGCUUUCUCCCUGCUUCACUCCUCCUGCACUCAAGCUGCGUGCAUGAAAAUCAGGUCUGUCUUCUCCACUCUCGUCAUGUUGCAGCUCAACUGAUGGGAUUUUUAUUGACUUGGUUUCGAAAGUGGAGCCCCCUUUGUUGAAGCCACUAGAACUGCUGCUGCUGCUGCUGCUGCUGCUGCCGGACACCGUCCUGGAAUGGGAUGUGCUGCCACUUGUAUGAGAAUGGAAGUCGGGGGAGGGCUGGUCAAAGAUGGAGAAGUCGUCGGUUUCUCCCUCCCCAAGGUCAGAGAAAAUGUCGCGUCCUUCAAAGGUCGAUGUGUGGGUGC